rnacentral:rRNA from 1 species
AUUGAACGCUGGCGGCAUGCUUUACACAUGCAAGUCGAACGGCAGCGCGGGCUUCGGCCUGGCGGCGAGUGGCGAACGGGUGAGUAAUACAUCGGAACGUGCCCAGUAGUGGGGGAUAGCCCGGCGAAAGCCGGAUUAAUACCGCAUACUACCUGAGGGUGAAAGCGGGGGACCGAAAGACCUCGCGCUAUUGGAGCGGCCGAUGGCGGAUUAGCUAGUUGGUGGGGUAAAGGCUUACCAAGGCGACGAUCCGUAGCUAGUCUGAGAGGACGACCAGCCGCACUGGGACUGAGACACGGCCCAGACUCCUACGGGAGGCAGCAGUGGGGAAUUUUGGACAAUGGGGGCAACCCUGAUCCAGCCAUGCCGCGUGCGGGAAGAAGGCCUUCGGGUUGUAAACCGCUUUUGUUCGGGAAGAAAUCCUCUGGGCUAAUACCCCGGGGGGAUGACGGUACCGGAAGAAUAAGCACCGGCUAACUACGUG